rnacentral:rRNA from 1 species
ACGCGAGUGGAUGCCAAUCCCAAAACCUCUCUCAGUUCGGACUGGAGUCUGCAACCCGACUCCACGAAGCUGGAUUCGCUAGUAAUCGCGCAUCAGCCACGGCGCGGUGAAUACGUUCCCGGGCCUUGUACACACCGCCCGUCAAGCCAUGGGAGCCGGGGGUACCUGAAGUGCGUAACCGCGAGGAGCGCCCUAGGGUAAAACUGGUGACUGGGGCUAAGUCGUAACAAGGUAUC